rnacentral:rRNA from 1 species
AGAGUUUGAUCCUGGCUCAGAGUGAACGCUGGCGGCAGGCCUAAUACAUGCAAGUCGAACGGCAGCACAGCAGAGCUUGCUCUGUGGGUGGCGAGUGGCGGACGGGUGAGGAAUACGUGGGAAUCUGCCCAGUCGUGGGGGAUAACGUAGGGAAACUUACGCUAAUACCGCAUGCGCCCUUCGGGGGAAAGCCGGGGAUCUUCGGACCUGGCGCGAUUGGAUGAGCCCACGUCGGAUUAGCUAGUUGGUGGGGUAAAGGCCCACCAAGGCGACGAUCCGUAGCUGGUCUGAGAGGAUGAUCAGCCACACUGGAACUGAGACACGGUCCAGACUCCUACGGGAGGCAGCAGUAGGGAAUAUUGGACAAUGGGCGCAAGCCUGAUCCAGCCAUGCCGCGUGUGUGAAGAAGGCCUUCGGGUUGUAAAGCACUUUUAUCCGGAAAGAAAAGCGCUGGGUUAAUACCCUGGUGUCCUGACGGUACCGGAAGAAUAAGCACCGGCUAACUUCGUGCCAGCAGCCGCGGUAAUACGAAGGGUGCAAGCGUUACUCGGAAUUACUGGGCGUAAAGCGUGCGUAGGUGGUUUGUUAAGUCUGAUGUGAAAGCCCUGGGGCUCAACCUGGGAAUUGCAUUUGGAUACUGGCAGGCUAGANUGCGGUAGAGGGUAGUGGAAUNCCCGGUGUA